UGAAAUAGAAGAUUGAUGAAUGUAUGAAACCAUUCGUUUCAUCAUUCAGGUAUUAAUGGAGAACUGUUGGCACAUGUAAUCUUUGAUUUAAAUGUUCUACGUAUUAGACGGCUAAUGGUGUGACAUUAAUUUCAGUUUCUUCUAUAUUUGUUUGCUCCGCACGGCAGCGAUGCAAAGCUGAGACCCACAUCCCAAGAACUGACGGAGAAGCUAAGAGAUCAUCAAAGUAAGUAUACAAUACAGUUCCAAGCUACUCGUGCUGCUUUAAUUGACAACUCUCUCCUUAAAGGCUAAGAG
rnacentral:lncRNA from 1 species